AGUGAACGCUGGCGGUAGGCCUAACACAUGCAAGUCGAACGGCAGCACAGUAAGAGCUUGCUCUUACGGGUGGCGAGUGGCGGACGGGUGAGGAAUACAUCGGAAUCUACUUUUUCGUGGGGGAUAACGUAGGGAAACUUACGCUAAUACCGCAUACGACCUACGGGUGAAAGCAGGGGAUCUUCUGACCUUGCGCGAUUGAAUGAGCCGAUGUCGGAUUAGCUAGUUGGCGGGGUAAAGGCCCACCAAGGCGACGAUCCGUAGCUGGUCUGAGAGGAGGGUCAGCCACACUGGAACUGAGACACGGUCCAGACUACUACGGGAGGCAGCAGUGGGGAAUAUUGGACAAAGGGCGCAAGCCUGAUCCAGCCAGACCGCGUGGGUGAAGAAGGCCUUCGGGUUGUAAAGCCCUUUUGUUGGGAAAGAAAAGCAGCAGGUUAAUACCCCGCUGUUCUGACGGUACCCAAAGAAUAAGCACCGGCUAACUUCGUG
rnacentral:rRNA from 1 species